rnacentral:tRNA from 1 species
GCCGGGAUGGCGGAAUGGUAGACGCGACGGUCUCAAAAACCGUUUACUCAAAAGGUAGUGCGGGUUCAAGUCCCGCUCCCGGCACCA